rnacentral:rRNA from 1 species
GAUGAACGCUGGCGGCGUGCCUAAUACAUGCAAGUCGAGCGAACGGACGAGAAGCUUGCUUUUCUGAUGUUAGCGGCGGACGGGUGAGUAACACGUUGAUAACCUACCUAUAAGACUGGGAUAACUUCGGGAAACCGGAGCUAAUACCGGAUAAUAUUUUGAACCGCAUGGUUCAAAAGUGAAAGACGGUCUUGCUGUCACUUAUAGAUGGAUCCGCGCUGCAUUAGCUAGUUGGUAAGGUAACGGCUUACCAAGGCAACGAUGCAUAGCCGACCUGAGAGGGUGAUCGGCCACCAUGGAACUGAGACACGGUGCAGAAUCCUACGGGAGGCGGCAGUAGGGAAUCUUCCGCAAUGGGCGGAAGCCUGACGGAGCAACGCGGCGUGAGAGAUGAAGGUCUUCGGAUCGUAAAACUCUGUUAUUAGGGAAGAACAUAUGUGUAAGUAACUGUGCAAAUCUUGACGGUACCUAAUCAGAAAGCCACGGCUAACUACGUG